AGUGAACGCUGGCGGUAGGCCUAACACAUGCAAGUCGAACGGCAGCACAGUAAGAGCUUGCUCUUACGGGUGGCGAGUGGCGGACGGGUGAGGAAUACAUCGGAAUCUACUUUUUCGUGGGGGAUAACGUAGGGAAACUUACGCUAAUACCGCAUACGACCUACGGGUGAAAGCAGGGGAUCUUCGGGCCUUGCGCGAUUGAAUGAGCCGAUGUCGGAUUAGCUAGUUGGCGGGGUAAAGGCCCACCAAGGCGACGAUCCGUAGCUGGUCUGAGAGGAUGAUCAGCCACACUGGAACUGAGACACGGUCCAGACUCCUACGGGAGGCAGCAGUGGGGAAUAUUGGACAAUGGGCGAAAGCCUGAUCCAGCCAUACCGCGUGGGUGAAGAAGGCCUUCGGGUUGUAAAGCCCUUUUGUUGGGAAAGAAAAGCAGCAGGUUAAUACCCCGCUGUUCUGACGGUACCCAAAGAAUAAGCACCGGCUAACUUCGUG
rnacentral:rRNA from 1 species